CAACAGAGGGAGGCAAAACCGCGAGGUGGAGCAAAUCCCUAAAAGCCAUCCCAGUUCGGAUUGCAGGCUGAAACCCGCCUGUAUGAAGUUGGAAUCGCUAGUAAUCGCGGAUCAGCAUGCCGCGGUGAAUACGUUCCCGGGCCUUGUACACACCGCCCGUCACACCAUGAGAGCCGGGAACACCCGAAGUCCGUAGUUUAACCGCAAGGAGGACGCGGCCGAAGGUGGGUUUGAUAAUUGGGGUGAAGUCGUAACAAGGUAUC
rnacentral:rRNA from 1 species